rnacentral:rRNA from 1 species
GACGAACGCUGGCGGCGUGCCUAAUACAUGCAAGUCGAGCGCAGGAAGCUCACGGAACUCUUCGGAGGGAAGUGAAGGGAAUGAGCGGCGGACGGGUGAGUAACACGUAAGGAACCUGCCCCAAGGAUUGGGAUAACUCCGAGAAAUCGGAGCUAAUACCGAAUAGUUCUUCAGACCGCAUGGUCUGUGAUGAUGAAAGGCGCUUCGGCGUCACCUUGGGAUGGCCUUGCGGUGCAUUAGCUAGUUGGUGGGGUAAUGGCCCACCAAGGCGACGAUGCAUAGCCGACCUGAGAGGGUGAUCGGCCACACUGGGACUGAGACACGGCCCAGACUCCUACGGGAGGCAGCAGUAGGGAAUCUUCCACAAUGGACGAAAGUCUGAUGGAGCAACGCCGCGUGAGUGAUGAAGGUUUUCGGAUCGUAAAACUCUGUUGUAAGGGAAGAACAGGUAUGAGAGGUAAUGCUCAUGCUAUGACGGUACCUUACGAGAAAGCCACGGCUAACUACGUGCCAGCAGCCGCCGUAAAAC